UCCAGUAAGCUAUUCAUAUUCACAGACUGGUGCUAGUAAAAUCUGUCAUCCCCUUUUCUCAGAAGAAACAACACUAGAACUUUCCACAACAGACACAAUUACUGGUAAGUGUGUUUAUAUAUAUAUAUAUAUAUAUAUAUAUAUAUAUAUAUAUAUAUAUAUAUAUAUAUAUAUAUAUAUAAAUAUAUAUAUAUAUAUAUAUAUAUAUUAGAUAAUUCCUUUUUUAAUUUCCCUAUUUAAUACUUAAACUCUUUUAUCUCUGUGUAUCUCUGCAGACACAACAUCACUGCAACCAACAACAGAAAACACCACAACAGACACAUCUAUUAGUAUAAAUUUAACAGACACAACAUUACUGCAAACAACAACAGAAACCACCACAACAGAAACAACUAUUGGCACAACUGCUCUAACAACAAUACUGGAGACAACAACAGAAACGACCACAACAGACACAACUAUUGGCACAACUGUUCUAACAACAAUACUUGAGCCAACAACAGAAACGACCACAACAGACACACCUAUUGGCACUACUGUUGUAACAACAUUACUGCAGCCAACAACAGAAACGACCACAACAGACACACCUAUUGGAAAUGUGAUGGUCAUGCGCCUAAAAGUUAUUUCAGUCAAAAACUUGAUGGCAGCGAACAGCUCCCAGUUAUUCCUCCAACAGCUCAAAGAGAUCCUAAUAAGCCGAGGAGUUUCAGACAACUUCACACUUCAACUGAGAUCCAUUAGCAAGAAGUCACCCUAGAAGGUGGAGGUUGUGGGAGUCUUCAAUAACACGUUGCUUAUUAACGUCCUAAAUAACUUUUCUAAAAUGUAUUAUAAAGUCAUUUUCUGAUAAGACAAUAUAGAUAAACCUAGAAGAUAAAAUGAAGCAAAAGCUAAAAUCACAUACAUAGCAAUAUUUUUUAUAAACAAUGAUCUGUGAACUAUAAGAACACCUCUUGUGUUUACUUUAGCUAUAAAUUUGCAUAAGAACAUAUAAUUU
rnacentral:lncRNA from 1 species